rnacentral:rRNA from 1 species
UCGAGGAUCUUUAGCAAUGGGCGCAAGCCUGAUGGAGCGACGUCGCGUGAUGGACGAAGUGCUUCGGCACGUAAACAUCUUUUAUGUGGGAUGAAAUUAUUGACAGUACCACAUGAAUAAGGGGCUCCUAACUCUGUGCCAGCAGGAGCGGUAAUACAGAGGCCCCAAGCGUUAUCCGGAAUCACUGGGCGUAAAGCGUGCGUAGGUGGUUUGCUAAGUCAGGUGUGAAAUCCCUGGGCUCAACCCAGGAACUGCAUUUGAUACUGGCAGGCUUGAGUGUGGUAGAGGGUAGUGGAAUUCCCGGUGUAGCGGUGAAAUGCGUAGAUAUCGGGAGGAACAUCAGUGGCGAAGGCGGCUACCUGGACCAACACUGACACUGAGGUACGAAAGCGUGGGGAGCAAACAGGAUUAGAUACCCUCGUAGUCCCUGAGCGGGCUGGCAAGGCGCAU